rnacentral:piRNA from 1 species
UGUCUAUCAAAUUUCAAAAUU